rnacentral:tRNA from 2 species
UAGAUGGAUGCUCCGCUGGUUUGAGCGCUUAGCUGUUAACUAAGAUCUUGCAGGAUCGAGGCCUGCCCUUCUUA